AGUAAUUCUUGAAAUAACCACUGCUUCUAAAUGGAAGUGUUUUAAAGAAGAUUAAGAGGCUGCUCCUGGUUGCCAAAUGUGAGCUAUCCUGAGGUACAAGUGCUACUGACCUACACAGCAGCAACAGGGGGGUGGAAUGCAACGAACUUAAGAGGCUCUGCAUAAGUAGAUGAGGAUGAGCAAUCCAUGUGCUGGAUAGAAGGAAUGUGGCAACAGAAGAAUACCAAGGUUUAAGAAUCAGAACAUAUGAGUAUUUGUAUGGCUUCAGAAGCUGCAGUGGAACACAGGCCUGCCAGGCUUCACAACCAUCCAGAAACUCAGAAAAGCUCUGUGUUAUGAAUCAAAAGAUGGAUUGGAAAAUAGCUGAAAAUGUUAAUGGUUUUAUUAGUGAAUUGUCCUUCAGCACCUGUGAGGCUUUUUGGUGAGCUGUGUGAAGAUGAAGGCGCAGAUACAGUGAUCCAUGCAGGCUCAGGCUUAAUUUCUAAUAACUGGUGUGUAUGUAGAGGGACUGGUGCCAAACUGGCUCUCUGCCUGGCAGAGCACUGGGAUGCAGCAUGGCCACGUGUCCAAACCUGGGAAUGAAGAAGUGUCCCCAGGCUAAGUCAAAUGUCAAAGAGACUUGUUCUGAGGAGGACUGACUGGAAGAACAUAGAAUGGAGAUGCAACUUCCAGAGAUCCAUCCCCACCAAAUGCCCUGUGGCAACCAGGAAUUUGCCUGCAAAGGAUAAACUCUAUCACAGAGCUGCCUCUUAAUAAGACCUAAAGUCUACAAGAGCUUCCUCUGUAAUCCACGGCACGUGUUUCCCUGCUCUCCAGCCAGUAUUCUUUGGCUAGAUCAGAUGUUUCAGAGCCCUGCCAUAGAUCACUUUGUUCACAAAGUUCUUCCUGAGGAACAAAAUUUUUGCUCUUUUGGAACAAUGAGCCUCAUUGCUAGGAGUCAUAAAUCAAGCCAAAGGAGCCUGAGGGAUUUAUACCAGAGAAUGAUCUGCAGCACCAGGGAUAAGGACUCCACCACCUCCUGGGCAGCAAUUGAAGAAAUUACAGUUCUUGACUUGGUGGACUGCAGGCUUCAGAAUUUACCAGCACCUCUGAGGCAUUUGUCAUCUCAUGUUUUCUAAGCAGGAAAGAACUGAGAUUUGCAGAAGGGAAAGGGACUGCAGAGCAGUACUGUAAUAAAGGAUGACUCCUGAAAGAUUUCAUACAAAAGAGACCUGAGCUGGGAAGACCAGCGUCACUCACAGAGCUGCUCUGGAAAACAUAUUGUGGGAAAUGAAAAUCAGAUUGUGUCACCGACGUAUUGGAUUUGAAGG